AAUUUAUUAGUUUAAAAUAAAACAUUACAUUUUCAAUGUAAAAAUAGAUUUUAUAAUUUAUAAAUUA
rnacentral:tRNA from 1 species